rnacentral:rRNA from 1 species
AUUGAACGCUGGCGGCAGGCCUAACACAUGCAAGUCGAGCGGAUGAAGGGAGCUUGCUCUUGGAUCCAGCGGCGGACGGGUGAGUAAUGCCUAGGAAUCUGCCUGGUAGUGGGGGAUAACGUCCGGAAACGGGCGCUAAUACCGCAUACGUCCUGAGGGAGAAAGUGGGGGAUCUUCGGACCUCACGCUAUCAGAUGAGCCUAGGUCGGAUUAGCUAGUUGGUGGGGUAAAGGCCUACCAAGGCGACGAUCCGUAACUGGUCUGAGAGGAUGAUCAGUCACACUGGAACUGAGACACGGUCCAGACUCCUACGGGAGGCAGCAGUGGGGAAUAUUGGACAAUGGGCGAAAGCCUGAUCCAGCCAUGCCGCGUGUGUGAAGAAGGUCUUCGGAUUGUAAAGCUCUUUAGGUUGGGAGGAAGGGCUGUAAGUUAAUACCUUGCUGUUUUGACGUUACCAGCAGAAUAAGCACCGGCUAACUUCGUG